GUUUAUGGCCUUACCCCCCUGAACAUAUCAGAUCGCUUCUGAUCACAGAAGAUAGGCAGGGUAGGGCCUGGAUAGUACUUGGAUGGAAUUCAGUAUUUAAUCAGAAGAAUUUUCUUGGAGAAGGCAAUUUUACACU
rnacentral:rRNA from 1 species